UGGUCCUGCUAGCUAAUUUACCUCCCUUAGAGAUGACACUGUGCUAACAGCAUUGUUGGUACACAACAGCUUUUCAUGAACAUGACACAUUCUUGAAAACUAUAUCAUGCCCCGGGGCCCUCUGCUUCAAAUAAACAUAAAAAAUCAUGCUUAGUGUGACAGAAAACAGUAUGGGAAGAAGAGAAAAGGCAUGCUACUCAUGAUUUAUUUCAUAACAAAAUUGAUAAGGUGAUGGAAAUGGCUAAGACAGACUGAACGACGAGUUCGCUUCAAACAGACAGCAAAAAACUGUAGGUUCUGCAAAUCAUGUUUACAAAAAAUGUACUCCUGAGCAUCCAAUUUUUAAAAUGUCUCUGCAAAUAUUCCCUCAAGGAACCAGUAUCUUGUGAGCCCACACUUCUACUCACCAGACUAUUUAGCUGCUAAACCAGAAAAAAUGUUUUGACUAGUACCUCGUUCUGUUCUAUUAAACUUAAAGCAUCUGCCAAAUCUGCAGACCUGCAUUUGUGGUACAUCAGUACUCCCUCUGUAAAUAUAAGAUAUUUUAGAUCACUACUAGUGAUCUAAAAGAUCUUUCCAGAUCACUACUAAAAGAUCUUUUUAGAUCACUACUAGUGAUCAUUUCUUAAAUGCAAAGUUCCUAGUCACUGCCCUAUUAAGCUGCUAAUCAAAAUUUACAACAUUUGACAACCAAGUAGUUUUCAUCAGUAAUGCACUGUGGAAGAAUAAUUACUUCCUUGCGACUACCGGACUCUAUCCAAAUUAUCUGAACAGGGACCAAAUUUCUACAAAUGUACUAUAUCCCAAUUAUCACCUAAGAUUUUUACAUCUCUAUUAAUGUUAGUAUGUUGCGAACUAACCUCUUAGCCCACAAUGGACCUUGAGGGUUGACCUUACCUAUACACAGCGCGACACCUGCGGCGAGUUGCCCCUUCUGUGCGUGCAAAACAGAAAAAGAUCACGAUAUACUUACGAAUCGACAUACUUCCUGAUUGAUUAGUUGCAUUAGGAACUUCAUCGUUGGCGGCCGCCUCUGCUUCCUAUCCCUCUUUCUCACUCCUCUGCUUCCAAAUGCCGUCCAUGCUGGGGCCUUUGGGGGAGAAGAGCCAGAGCUCUGCAUCCAAUUUGUGCCUGCAGCCAUUCGACGGAAAAGCGGAUUUCCUGAGCCACGGACCAAAUUGAUUUUCGUCUUCCGAUCCGCGGCUUAGCUUGCUGCAUUCCACCUGCAUUGUAGAUCAAGGUUUUCAGAUUUCCAUUUCAUAUUAAGCUACCAAACAACUACAUCAAUUCUAUCUCUUGAAACUCUCAUGCUUACCACUCGUUGACUCAUCAUUCUCGUUCCAGUCACCAGAGGAGUCUGAUUUCCCUCAUUAUCUUUCUUGCUUCUAGAGUUUUGGUCCAGUGGUCCUGCUAGCUAAUUUACCUCCCUUAGAGAUGACACUGUGCUAACAGCAUUGUUGGUACACAACAGCUUUUCAUGAACAUGACACAUUCUUGAAAAUUAUAUCAUGCCCCGGGGCCCUCUGCUUCAAAUAAACAUAAAAAAUCAUGCUUAGUGUGACAGAAAACAGUAUGGGAAGAAGAGAAAAGGCAUGCUACUCAUGAUUUAUUUCAUAACAAAAUUGAUAAGGUGAUGGAAAUGGCUAAGACAGACUGAACGACGAGUUCGCUUCAAACAGACAGCAAAAAACUGUAGGUUCUGCAAAUCAUGUUUACAAAAAAUGUACUCCUAAGCAUCCAAUUUUUAAAAUGUCUCUGCAAAUAUUCCCUCAAGGAACCAGUAUCUUGUGAGCCCAUACUUCUACUCGCCAGACUAUUUAGCUGCUAAACCAGAAAAAAUGUUUUGACUAGUACCUCAUUCUGUUCUAUUAAACUUAAAACAUCUGCCAAAUCUGCAGACCUGCAUUUGUGGUACAUCAGUACUCCCUCUGUAAAUAUAAGAUCUUUUAGAUCACUACUAGUGAUCUAAAAGAUCUUUCCAGAUCACUACUAAAAGAUCUUUUUAGAUCACUACUAGUGAUCAUUUCUUAAAUGCAAAGUUCCUAGUCACUGCCCUAUUAAGCUGCUAAUCAAAAUUUACAACAUUUGACAACCAAGUAGUUUUCAUCAGUAAUGCACUGUGGAAGAACAAUCUUAAUUACUUCCUUGCGACUACCGGACUCUAUCCAAAUUAUCUGAACAGGGACCAAAUUUCUACAAAUGUACUAUAUCCCAAUUAUCACCUAAGAUUUUUACAUCUCUAUUAAUGUUAGUAUGUUGCGAACUAACCUCUUAGCCCACAAUGGACCUUGAGGGUUGACCUUACCUAUAUAGCCGCGACACCUGCGGCGAGUUGCCCCUUCUGUGCGUGCAAAACAGAAAAAGAUCACGAUAUACUUACGAAUCGACAUACCUCCUGAUUGAUUAGUUGCAUUAGGAACUUCAUCGUUGGCGGCCGCCUCUGCUUCCUAUCCCUCUUUCUCACUCCUCUGCUUCCAAAUGCCGUCCAUGCUGGGGCCUUUGGGGGAGAAGAGCCAGAGCUCUGCAUCCAAUUUGUGCCUGCAGCCAUUCGACGGAAAAGCGGAUUUCCUGAGCCACGGACCAAAUUGAUUUUCGUCUUCCGAUCCGCGGCUUAGCUUGCUGCAUUCCACCUGCAUUGUAGAUCAAGGUUUUCAGAUUUCCAUUUCAUAUUAAGCUACCAAACAACUACAUCAAUUCUAUCUCUUGAAACUCUCAUGCUUACCACUCGUUGACUCAUCAUUCUCGUUCCAGUCACCAGAGGAGUCUGAUUUCCCUCAUUAUCUUUCUUGCUUCUAGAGUUUUGGUCCAGUGGUCCUGCUAGCUAAUUUACCUCCCUUAGAGAUGACACUGUGCUAACAGCAUUGUUGGUACACAACAGCUUUUCAUGAACAUGACACAUUCUUGAAAACUAUAUCAUGCCCCGGGGCCCUCUGCUUCAAAUAAACAUAAAAAAUCAUGCUUAGUGUGACAGAAAACAGUAUGGGAAGAAGAGAAAAGGCAUGCUACUCAUGAUUUAUUUCAUAACAAAAUUGAUAAGGUGAUGGAAAUGGCUAAGACAGACUGAACGAUGAGUUCGCUUCAAACAGACAGCAAAAAACUGUAGGUUCUGCAAAUCAUGUUUACAAAAAGUGUACUCCUAAGCAUCCAAUUUUUAAAAUGUCUCUGCAAAUAUUCCCUCAAGGAACCAGUAUCUUGUGAGCCCACACUUCUACUCACCAGACUAUUUAGCUGCUAAACCAGAAAAAAUGUUUUGACUAGUACCUCGUUCUGUUCUAUUAAACUUAAAACAUCUGCCAAAUCUGCAGACCUGCAUUUGUGGUACAUCAGUACUCCCUCUGUAAAUAUAAGAUAUUUUAGAUCACUACUAGUGAUCUAAAAGAUCUUUCCAGAUCACUACUAAAAGAUCUUUUUAGAUCACUACUAGUGAUCAUUUCUUAAAUGCAAAGUUCCUAGUCACUGCCCUAUUAAGCUGCUAAUCAAAAUUUACAACAUUUGACAACCAAGUAGUUUUCAUCAGUAAUGCACUGUGGAAGAACAAUCUUAAUUACUUCCUUGCGACUACCGGACUCUAUCCAAAUUAUCUGAACAGGGACCAAAUUUCUACAAAUGUACUAUAUCCCAAUUAUCACCUAAGAUUUUUACAUCUCUAUUAAUGUUAGUAUGUUGCGAACUAACCUCUUAGCCCACAAUGGACCUUGAGGGUUGACCUUACCUAUACACAGCCGCGACACCUGCGGCGAGUUGCCCCUUCUAUGCGUGCAAAACAGAAAAAGAUCACGAUAUACUUACGAAUCGACAUACCUCCUGAUUGAUUAGUUGCAUUAGGAACUUCAUCGUUGGCGGCCGCCUCUGCUUCCUAUCCCUCUUUCUCACUCCUCUGCUUCCAAAUGCCGUCCAUGCUGGGGCCUCUGGGGGAGAAGAGCCAGAGCUCUGCAUCCAAUUUGUGCCUGCAGCCAUUCGACGGAAAAGCGGAUUUCCUGAGCCACGGACCAAAUUGAUUUUCGUCUUCCGAUCCGCGGCUUAGCUUGCUGCAUUCCACCUGCAUUGUAGAUCAAGGUUUUCAGAUUUCCAUUUCAUAUUAAGCUACCAAACAACUACAUCAAUUCUAUCUCUUGAAACUCUCAUGCUUACCACUCGUUGACUCAUCAUUCUCGUUCCAGUCACCAGAGGAGUCUGAUUUCCCUCAUUAUCUUUCUUGCUUCUAGAGUUUUGGUCCAGUGGUCCUGCUAGCUAAUUUACCUCCCUUAGAGAUGACACUGUGCUAACAGCAUUGUUGGUACACAACAGCUUUUCAUGAACAUGACACAUUCUUGAAAACUAUAUCAUGCCCCGGGGCCCUCUGCUUCAAAUAAACAUAAAAAAUCAUGCUUAGUGUGACAGAAAACAGUAUGGGAAGAAGAGAAAAGGCAUGCUACUCAUGAUUUAUUUCAUAACAAAAUUGAUAAGGUGAUGGAAAUGGCUAAGACAGACUGAACGACGAGUUCGCUUCAAACAGACAGCAAAAAACUGUAGGUUCUGCAAAUCAUGUUUACAAAAAAUGUACUCCUAAGCAUCCAAUUUUUAAAAUGUCUCUGCAAAUAUUCCCUCAAGGAACCAGUAUCUUGUGAGCCCACACUUCUACUCACCAGACUAUUUAGCUGCUAAACCAGAAAAAAUGUUUUGACUAGUACCUCGUUCUGUUCUAUUAAACUUAAAGCAUCUGCCAAAUCUGCAGACCUGCAUUUGUGGUACAUCAGUACUCCCUCUGUAAAUAUAAGAUAUUUUAGAUCACUACUAGUGGUCUAAAAGAUCUUUCCAGAUCACUACUAAAAGAUCUUUUUAGAUCACUACUAGUGAUCAUUUCUUAAAUGCAAAGUUCCUAGUCACUGCCCUAUUAAGCUGCUAAUCAAAAUUUACAACAUUUGACAACCAAGUAGUUUUCAUCAGUAAUGCACUGUGGAAGAACAAUCUUAAUUACUUCCUUGCGACUACCGGACUCUAUCCAAAUUAUCUGAACAGGGACCAAAUUUCUACAAAUGUACUAUAUCCCAAUUAUCACCUAAGAUUUUUACAUCUCUAUUAAUGUUAGUAUGUUGCGAACUAACCUCUUAGCCCACAAUGGACCUUGAGGGUUGACCUUACCUAUACACAGCCGCGACACCUGCGGCGAGUUGCCCCUUCUGUGCGUGCAAAACAGAAAAAGAUCACGAUAUACUUACGAAUCGACAUACCUCCUGAUUGAUUAGUUGCAUUAGGAACUUCAUCGUUGGCGGCCGCCUCUGCUUCCUAUCCCUCUUUCUCACUCCUCUGCUUCCAAAUGCCGUCCAUGCUGGGGCCUUUGGGGGAGAAGAGCCAGAGCUCUGCAUCCAAUUUGUGCCUGCAGCCAUUCGACGGAAAAGCGGAUUUCCUGAGCCACGGACCAAAUUGAUUUUCGUCUUCCGAUCCGCGGCUUAGCUUGCUGCAUUCCACCUGCAUUGUAGAUCAAGGUUUUCAGAUUUCCAUUUCAUAUUAAGCUACCAAACAACUACAUCAAUUCUAUCUCUUGAAACUCUCAUGCUUACCACUCGUUGACUCAUCAUUCUCGUUCCAGUCACCAGAGGAGUCUGAUUUCCCUCAUUAUCUUUCUUGCUUCUAGAGUUUUGGUCCAGUGGUCCUGCUAGCUAAUUUACCUCCCUUAGAGAUGACACUGUGCUAACAGCAUUGUUGGUACACAACAGCUUUUCAUGAACAUGACACAUUCUUGAAAAUUAUAUCAUGCCCCGGGGCCCUCUGCUUCAAAUAAACAUAAAAAAUCAUGCUUAGUGUGACAGAAAACAGUAUGGGAAGAAGAGAAAAGGCAUGCUACUCAUGAUUUAUUUGAUAACAAAAUUGAUAAGGUGAUGGAAAUGGCUAAGACAGACUGAACGACGAGUUCGCUUCAAACAGACAGCAAAAAACUGUAGGUUCUGCAAAUCAUGUUUACAAAAAAUGUACUCCUAAGCAUCCAAUUUUUAAAAUGUCUCUGCAAAUAUUCCCUCAAGGAACCAGUAUCUUGUGAGCCCACACUUCUACUCACCAGACUAUUUAGCUGCUAAACCAGAAAAAAUGUUUUGACUAGUACCUCGUUCUGUUCUAUUAAACUUAAAACAUCUGCCAAAUCUGCAGACCUGCAUUUGUGGUACAUCAGUACUCCCUCUGUAAAUAUAAGAUCUUUUAGAUCACUACUAGUGAUCUAAAAGAUCUUUCCAGAUCACUACUAAAAGAUCUUUUUAGAUCACUACUAGUGAUCAUUUCUUAAAUGCAAAGUUCCUAGUCACUGCCCUAUUAAGUUGAUAAUCAAAAUUUACAACAUUUGACAACCAAGUAGUUUUCAUCAGUAAUGCACUGUGGAAGAACAAUCUUAAUUACUUCCUUGCGACUACCGGACUCUAUCCAAAUUAUCUGAACAGGGACCAAAUUUCUACAAAUGUACUAUAUCCCAAUUAUCACCUAAGAUUUUUACAUCUCUAUUAAUGUUAGUAUGUUGCGAACUAACCUCUUAGCCCACAAUGGACCUUGAGGGUUGACCUUACCUAUACACAGCCGCGACACCUGCGGCGAGUUGCCCCUUCUGUGCAUGCAAAACAGAAAAAGAUCACGAUAUACUUACGAAUCGACAUACCUCCUGAUUGAUUAGUUGCAUUAGGAACUUCAUCGUUGGCGGCCGCCUCUGUUUCCUAUCCCUCUUUCUCACUCCUCUGCUUCCAAAUGCGUCCAUGCUGGGGCCUUUGGGGGAGAAGAGCCAGAGCUCUGCAUCCAAUUUGUGCCUGCAGCCAUUCAACGGAAAAGCGGAUUUCCUGAGCCACGGACCAAAUUGAUUUUCGUUUUCCGAUCCGCGGCUUAGCUUGCUGCAUUCCACC
rnacentral:lncRNA from 1 species